rnacentral:lncRNA from 1 species
CUUAGACACUGGAGGCAACGUUACUCUGAACUUCGUCGCAGUUCGAAUCAUCAACAAUGAACACCCUCGCUGUUGCACUCUGUUUGGUUCUGGUGGCGAUGGCCUCAGCCACAUAUCCACAAGGAGGAGGAUACGGCCGUGGGGGAAAUGACAUCUGGAACAACCAAUACCCAAAGCAGGUGGCUAAUAUCAAUCAACAACAGUCCAACAAACAAUAUGUUGAUCAAGAUCAGUUUAACCGCGGAGGACGAUUCCCCCAUGGCGGCGGCUAUGGCGACUAUGGCUUUGGCGGCCCUGGCUUUGGCGGCCCUGGCUAUGGCGGCAAGGGUUUCAGAUAUUGAGAUGGGUAACUGUUUGAUGGAAUAUACACACUGAGUAUGUGAAGUGUAUGACGUAAAUGAAUAAACCAUAGCUGCACAGGU